AAUUUGGCAUCCAAAACAUUGGUGGAUCAAAGAUUUUUGAUUUAACUUCCUGAAUAAAUAACUUAAAGACUCAAUAUAAUCAUGGCCAAAAAAAAGUCAUGAUAUCAGGAAUAUAACAUUAUUGGGGCAGAGGUCCCAGCCAUUGCCAAAGUUGAAUCUUUUACAUUUCCGUGAAUCUUGAGGAUGACUGAAAAGGAAGUCUUUGAAAUUGCAGUUUCUGAAGGAUCACAGUACAGGAAUGCCUUUAUAAAAGCUGCAGAGAUAAAUACAUGUACUGGCAUGGAUAUUUAAAACCACUCACUCAGAAGCAUAUGAAAGAAAUUCAACCAUCAUUCAACAUAGAAGAAGUUAAUUUUAGUGCAAAUGUUUUUAAGUAUUAAAUUUCACAAUAAAGGAUCAGUUGGCUUACUUACUGAUAAAUUAAAACAGAGAAAACAUUUGAAAUC
rnacentral:sRNA from 1 species